GAGGGUAUAGCUCAUUGGUAGAGCACAUGCUUAGCAUGCACAAGGUCCUGGGUUCAAUCCCUGGUACCUCCA
rnacentral:tRNA from 1 species